UAACAAUGGAGAGUUUGAUCCUGGCUCAGGAUGAACGCUAGCGAUAGGCUUAACACAUGCAAGUCGAGGGGCAGCAUAAUUUUAGCUUGCUAAGAUUGAUGGCGACCGGCGCACGGGUGCGUAACGCGUAUGCAACCUGCCUGUAAUUAGGGGAUAGCUCGGUGAAAGUCGAAUUAAUACCCUAUAUUCUAUAUUUUUCGCAUGAUUGAUAUAGGAAAGAUUUAUUGAUUACAGAUGGGCAUGCGUUCCAUUAGCUUGUUGGUAAGGUAACGGCUUACCAAGGCAACGAUGGAUAGGGGGACUGAGAGGUUGACCCCCCACACUGGUACUGAGACACGGACCAGACUCCUACGGGAGGCAGCAGUGAGGAAUAUUGGUCAAUGGGCGCAAGCCUGAACCAGCCAAGUCGCGUGAAGGACGACGGUCCUAUGGAUUGUAAACUUCUUUUGUAGAGGAAUAAUGAUGGCCACGAGUGGCUGAAGGGAAUGUACUCUACGAAUAAGUAUCGGCUAACUCCGUGCCAGCAGCCGCGGUAAUACGGAGGAUACGAGCGUUAUCCGGAUUUAUUGGGUUUAAAGGGUGCGUAGGUGGCGAAUUAAGUCAGUGGUGAAAAGCUGCAGCUCAACUGUAGUCUUGCCGUUGAAACUGGUUUGCUUGAGAGGAGACGAGGUAUGCGGAAUGUGUGGUGUAGCGGUGAAAUGCAUAGAUAUCACACAGAACGCCGAUUGCGAAGGCAGCGUACCAGGCUCUUUCUGACACUGAAGCACGAAAGCGUGGGUAUCAAACAGGAUUAGAUACCCUGGUAGUCCACGCUGUAAACGAUGAAUACUAGAUUUUUGCGAUAUACAGUAAGAGUCUAAGCGAAAGCGAUAAGUAUUCCACCUGGGGAGUACGCCGGCAACGGUGAAACUCAAAGGAAUUGACGGGGGCCCGCACAAGCGGAGGAACAUGUGGUUUAAUUCGAUGAUACGCGAGGAACCUUACCUGGGAUUGAAAUUUAGGAGAACGAUUUAUGAAAGUAGAUUUUCCCUUCGGGGCUCCUAAGUAGGUGCUGCAUGGUUGUCGUCAGCUCGUGCCGUGAGGUGUCGGCUUAAGUGCCAUAACGAGCGCAACCCGCGUCGAUAGUUACUAACAGGUAAUGCUGAGGACUCUAUCGAGACAGCCGUCGUAAGACGAGAGGAAGGGGCGGAUGACGUCAAAUCAGCACGGCCCUUACAUCCAGGGCGACACACGUGUUACAAUGGCAAGGACAAAGGGAAGCCACAUAGCGAUAUGGAGCAGAUCCUCAAACCUUGUCCCAGUUCGGAUCGGAGUCUGCAACUCGACUCCGUGAAGCUGGAUUCGCUAGUAAUCGCGCAUCAGCCAUGGCGCGGUGAAUACGUUCCCGGGCCUUGUACACACCGCCCGUCAAGCCAUGGGAGUCGGGGGUACCUGAAGAGUGUAACCGUAAGGAGCGCUUAAGGGUAAUACCGGUGACUGGGGCUAAGUCGUAACAAGGUAGCCGUACCGGAAGGUGUGGCUGGAACACCUCCUUUCUG
rnacentral:rRNA from 1 species